rnacentral:rRNA from 1 species
CCUACGGGAGGCAGCAGUGGGGAAUAUUGCUCAAUGGGGGAAACCCUGAUGCAGCGACGCCGCGUGAGUGAAGAAGUUUUUCGGUAUGUAAAGCUCUAUUAGUAGGGAAGAAAAUGACGGUACCUGAUUAAUACGCCCCGGCUAACUCCGUGCCAGCAGCCGCGGUAAUACGUAGGGGGCAAGCGUUAUCCGGAUUUACUGGGGGUAACGGGAGCGUAGGCGGGAGCACAAGUCCGGAGUGAAAUGCCGGGGCUUAACCCCGGAACUGCCUUUGAAACUGUGCAGCUAGAGUGUAGGAGAGGUAGGUGGAAUUCCUAGUGUAGCGGUGAAAUGCGUAGAUAUUAAGAGGAACACCAGUGGCGAAGGCGGCUUACUGGACUGUAACUGACGCUGAGGCACGAAAGCGUGGGGAGCAAACAGGAUUAGAUACCCGAGUAGUC